CAGACAUAUUUCAUUUCUCUCGCCAUUUCCUACGGUUCCGUCGCACGAUCUCCGUUUCUCGUCCGUUUCCGACGUUCUAUAGCUCGAAUUGAUCGUAUUCCAGAGGCGAAUCACGUUUUAGAUCCGGCAAGGCAAGGAGCCGAUGGACCAGGAGCUCGGGGAGCUAGAUGUUUCUGAGCACCGGCACCAGAGUGUUUUUGGAAUAAGCGGUCACAUCUUCCUUUCAGGUUAAAGCAUUUUGAAGGACGGACUUCCUCCUUCUUGUUCUGGAAGUCCACAAUAGUGAAAGGUCAUGUUAAAGAACGUUUUCUUCGUAGAGCUGCAGUAGUCGGUAGAUGUCUGUAUGGGAUGUAAGAUUUAUAUUCAAACGGUUUAUUUAAAUGGGCAACUCUGAUUUGAGAUAAAAGUAUAUAUACAUUA